AAUCUGGUCAGUCAAGUGAUGGUCUUUAAGCCUCCUUCUUUGCUUUUUUCUUGAUAUGUAAGAUUUGUUCACAUAUUUGUUCAAUUGCUUGUUUGUAUCAGCCAGCCAUACUAGGACUGUUUGCUUUGAUUACUUCCUAUUCUUGACCUAACACUCUAACAGAGCUUGUCAAUGAUUUAAAUACUAGGGGUUGAUGUAGUGGGGGCUUGUCUAAGUCAUAGGUGACAUAAAGAUUUGGCUGUACACUAAAGUAGGCUUUCCAAGAGUACCUGGAGAUCCAGUUCAAAGGUAUGCCUAGUUUUUACAAAGUACACACAUAGUAAAUGCUCAUUUCAUUGUGUGCAAGAGAUUUGGCAUGUUUCAUUAUGUGGUCUUGUUUUGUUAUAAUUUCAUCCUUUUGUGUUGUUCACAGACUGGAAAGCAUGCAUAUUUAUCUUCCAAGGAGACGAGUAACUAGUUUGUGUCACCUUGCAGAGGGGGUGCAAUGAAGAUAAGAUUGAGGAUUUCAAAGUAAAAGAUGUUAGGAAGGAGCCUUGCAAGAGAAGGAGGAGCAUCGCUGAGCCUAUUCAACCAGUUAAGGUAAGUCAUUGUAUCCAACUCAACAGUUCAAUUGUUUGUUUGUUUCAGGUAUAGUUAAAUUGCUCUUUUCAAUUGCUUUAUUUGUCCUAAUGAGAUGCCCAAACAAUGAUGUCUGAUGUUGGGUACUUGUAUAACUAUUAGUUGACAUAAUUAAAGGCUUUACAAUUUAAUUACCCUGGCAAAGUGUGCCAAAAGCUUUGAAGUCUAUUAACCAACUAUUACUGCAUGAGACUCAAUAUCUAGUUUAUACUAGACUAAUGAUUGCAAAGUUUUGCUUGCUGUAGUAGGUUUGUAUGAAUCCCUCUGUUGUUCAUUAUGCUCCCUAAGACUUUAAUUGACCUACAGAAUGGCCAACUGCUUGCUUACUUAUACGCAACGUGAUGUCUAAAUUUGUAACAUGUCUGUGUUUUGGAUUUGGCCCCAAUAUCAUGCUCCUCUGGUGAGCUAACAGAGAUUUCUGUAUGCGGGCUGCAUAGACUACCAUUUUUAUAAUUUUUAAAAUAUCACCUGCUUAUGCUUUAUGACGUGUAACAUUAUUGUUAGUCCUGUUUUGCCAUGUAGAAAAUAGUCUGUCUUGCUCGCUUCAGUGUUGUAACUAUAUUUUUGCCCUGGUCAUGUGUACUUACAGAAACAUUUUAGGAUGAAGUGACAUCAACACAAAGAUCUGUGAGCAGUGCGGCAUGGUCGUUACCAAAUGAUUAUGGUUUGGAAUUGGAAUGUACUGAUGUUCUUGAGCAUCAACUAGAGGUGGCAAGACAACAUGUACAUGAUUCUCAACGUGCAAUCAACAAGUUGAGACUGCACUUGCAGGUAUUAGAUGCCGGAGUCAAAAAAAGGAAACGAGACACUGAGGUAACCAUGAAGGAAUUGGAGAUUUUGUAGACUAAAAUUUGUGCUAUCUGAAUCCGGCCAAUCCUAUUUUCUAAAGAUAUUAUAGUUCAAAUGGUAAGUUCUGUUGAUGCGUGUCCAUGAUGUAUGAGCUUUAUUUGUUCAGUGUAUGUAAUUUGCUAUUUGUGUACGCUUUAUUAUCACUGGUGCCAAACUAUAAUGCCCAAAGGGUAUAUUCGGCUGUAAUUUCUCUAUUGUAUAGUGUAGGAUUAUUCUACGUUUCUAUGCCUUAGUAUUUUUAUUGUAUAGUGUAUGUUUUUUAGAGGUGAUAGUAUAGAGUAGGAUAAUUCUUUGAAUAUGCUAUAUCGUUGAAACGGGGGCCAACACGCCCGAACAUUUCC
rnacentral:lncRNA from 1 species